UACGAAGGGGGCUAGCGUUGUUCGGAAUUACUGGGCGUAAAGGGCGCGUAGGCGGUUACACAAGUCAGGCGUGAAAGCCCUGGGCUCAACCUGGGAAUUGCGCUUGAGACUGUGUGGCUUGAGUUCGGGAGAGGCGGGUGGAAUUCCCAGUGUAGAGGUGAAAUUCGUAGAUAUUGGGAAGAACACCGGUGGCGAAGGCGGCCCGCUGGACCGACACUGACGCUAAGGCGCGAAAGCGUGGGGAGCAAACAGG
rnacentral:rRNA from 1 species